GACGAACGCUGGCGGCGUGCUUAACACAUGCAAGUCGAACGGAAAGGCCCCUUUGGGGGUACUCGAGUGGCGAACGGGUGAGUAACACGUGAGUAACCUGCCCUUGACUUCGGGAUAACUUCAGGAAACUGGGGCUAAUACCGGAUAGGAAUCCUUGCUGCAUGGUGGGGGUUGGAAAGCUUCGGCGGUUUUGGAUGGACUCGCGGCUUAUCAGCUUGUUGGUGGGGUAGUGGCUUACCAAGGCUUUGGCGGGUAGCCGGCCUGAGAGGGCGACCGGCCACAUUGGGACUGAGAUACGGCCCAGACUCCUACGGGAGGCAGCAGUGGGGAAUAUUGCACAAUGGGCGGAAGCCUGAUGCAGCAACGCCGCGUGCGGGAGGACGGCCUUCGGGUUGUAAACCGCUUUCAGCAGGGGCGAAGCUUGUGGUGACGGUACCUGCAGAAGAAGCACCGGCUAACUACGUG
rnacentral:rRNA from 1 species